rnacentral:rRNA from 1 species
AUUGAACGCUGGCGGCAUGCCUUACACAUGCAAGUCGAACGGCAGCGCGGGAGCAAUCCUGGCGGCGAGUGGCGAACGGGUGAGUAGUGCAUCGGAACGUGCCCAGUUGUGGGGGAUAGCCCGGCGAAAGCCGGAUUAAUACCGCAUGAGACCUGAGGGUGAAAGCGGGGGAUCGAAAGACCUCGCGCGACUGGAGCGGCCGAUGUCAGAGUAGGUGGUUGGUGGGGUAAGGGCCUACCAAGCCUGCGAUCUGUAGCUGGUCUGAGAGGACGACCAGCCACACUGGGACUGUGACACGGCCCAGACUCCUACGGGAGGCAGCAGUGGGGAAUGGUGGACAAUGGGCGCAAGCCUGAUCCAGCCAUGCCGCGUGCGGGAAGAAGGCCUUCGGGUUGUAAACCGCUUUUGUCGGGGAAGAAACGGCCUGGGCUAAUACCUUGGGCUAAUGACGGUACCCGAAGAAUAAGCACCGGCUAACUACGUGCCAGCCGCCGCAGUAA